rnacentral:rRNA from 1 species
GACUGCUAUCGGAUGAUACUAAGCCAUGCGAGUCUUGUAGUAAUACAAGGCAGACGGCUCAGUAACACGUAGUCAACCUACCCUAUGGACAAGAAUAAUCUCGGGAAACUGGGCAUAAUUCUUGAUAGAUCAUAAUGCCUGGAAUGGUUUAUGGUUAAAAUGAUUCGUCGCCAUAGGAUGGGACUGCGGCCUAUCAGCUUGUUGGUGAGGUAAUGGCCCACCAAGGCGAUUACAGGUACGGGCUCUGAGAGGAGAAGCCCGGAGAUGGGUACUGAGACACGGACCCAGGCCCUAUGGGGCGCAGCAGGCGAGAAAACUUUGCAAUGUGCGAAAGCACGACAAGGUUAAUCCGAGUGAUUUCUGCUAAAGAAAUCUUUUGUCAGUCGUAAAACCACUGGCGAAUAAGGGGUGGGCAAGUUCUGGUGUCAGCCGCCGCGGUAAAACCAGCACCUCAAGUGGUUAGGAUGAUUAUUGGGCCUAAAGCAUCCGUAGCCGGCUUUGUAAGUUUUCGGUUAAAUCCAUGUGCUCAACGCAUGGGCUGCCGAAAAUACUGCAUGGCUAGGGAGUGGGAGAGGUAGACGGUACUCAGUAGGAAGGGGUAAAAUCCUUUGAUCUAUUGAUGACCACCUGUGGCGAAGGCGGUCUACCAGAACACGUUCGACGGUGAGGGAUGAAAGCUGGGGGAGCAAACCGGAUUAGAUACCCGGGUAGUCCCAGCCGUAAACGAUGCAGACUCGAUGAUGCAUUGGCAUAAUAGCCAAUGCAGUGUCGCAGGGAAGCCGUUAAGUCUGCCGCCUGGGAAGUACGUACGCAAGUAUGAAACUUAAAGGAAUUGGCGGGGGAGCACCACAAGGGUGAAGCCUGCGGUU